rnacentral:rRNA from 1 species
UGGGGAAUAUUGGACAAUGGGCGAAAGCCUGAUCCAGCCAUGCCGCGUGUGUGAAGAAGGUCUUCGGAUUGUAAAGCACUUUAAGUUGGGAGGAAGGGCAGUAAGCGAAUACCUUGCUGUUUUGACGUUACCGACAGAAUAAGCACCGGCUAACUCUGUGCCAGCAGCCGCGGUAAUACAGAGGGUGCAAGCGUUAAUCGGAAUUACUGGGCGUAAAGCGCGCGUAGGUGGUUCGUUAAGUUGAAUAUGAAAGCCCCGGGCUCAACCUGGGAACUGCAUCCAAAACUGGCGAGCUAGAGUAGGGCAGAGGGUGGUGGAAUUUCCUGUGUAGCGGUGAAAUGCGUAGAUAUAGGAAGGAACACCAGUGGCGAAGGCGACCACCUGGGCUCAUACUGACACUGAGGUGCGAAAGCGUGGGGAGCAAACAGG